UACGAAGGGGGCUAGCGUUGCUCGGAAUCACUGGGCGUAAAGGGCGCGUAGGCGGAUCUUUAAGUCAGGGGUGAAAGCCUGAGGCUCAACCUCAGAAUUGCCUUUGAUACUGAAGAUCUUGAGACCGGAAGAGGUAAGUGGAACUGCGAGUGUAGAGGUGAAAUGCGUAGAUAUCAGGAGGAACACCUGCGGUGUAGACGGCUUACUGGACCAUAACUGACGCUGAGGCACGAAAGCGUGGGUAGCAAACAGG
rnacentral:rRNA from 1 species